AAAGGUAUUUAAGAAUAUUUCAUUCAUUCAGAUCUAGGAUGUGUUAUUUUAGUGUUCCCUUUAUUUUUUUGAGCAGUGUAUAUGACUUUGUGGUUGUGGGUGGAUGUCAACUGCUGGCUGGAAUUCUCACUCAACUGUACCACUAAUAUGAACCUGUUCUACAGACUCUUGUAGACUACUAUGCACUGAAAAACAGUUAAUAUGUUACAAAUCAAAGCUUAACAUUGAAAUAUGUGAUUUCAAAUGAUUAAGUUAAAUUCAGAUAGGCAUGUUAUGUGCUCUCUAACACAAACAUAAAAUGUGUUGUUGCUGUAGACCUUUUAACAGAUCUAGGAGCAGUUGACCACAGAAUGUUAACAUUAGCCACUAAUAUCUGACUUCAGUACUGUCUAUAGCUGUUUGUUCAUUAAUACUUAUAUGUGGCCUUAAUAUACAGCAUAUGACCUGGUAAAGGAGAGGGGGAUGGGAGCAGAGAAGGGGAUGGGAGGCUGCUCAAUGAUUGGCUGUAGUGUAGGGCGUGUCAUACAAUGUAUCAAAAUUUCAACUGCUGGCUGGAAUUCUCACUCAACUGUACCACUAAUAUGAACCUGUUCUACAGACUCUUGUAGACUACUAUGCACUGAAAAACAGUUAAUAUGUUACAAAUCAAAGCUUAACAUUGAAAUAUGUGAUUUCAAAUGAUUAAGUUAAAUUCAGAUAGGCAUGUUAUGUGCUCUCUAACACAAACAUAAAAUGUGUUGUUGUUGUAGACCUUUUAACAGAUCUAGUUGACCUCCACAGAAUGUGCACAUUAGCCACUAAUAUCUGACUUCAGUAUAGUUUAUAGAGGUGUAUAUGUCUGUCUGUGUCUUUCAGUUUCUAUUUAGACUACAUCAAAUAUGAAGAAGCUGUGCAGCCACACCAUGUUCAACAUGUUACCUAAUUAGCUAGCUAGCUGACAAUCUGGUUUACCUGUAGCAUAUAAACAUUUGUUGGCACAGAAAGAAAGGGGAUACGAAAAAUGAUUGAUCAAAUUCCUCCUGACACUAUCUGACUGGGUUAAUAACUUAAUAUUAAGUUAAUAUGGACCCAUUGUCUUAGACUUGAACUCUUGGACCAAACAGUGGGACUCUGAUUUCAGCCAUAGGGACUUGUGACUCGACUCCUGACUCCAACAUUGGUGACUUUGACUCAACUCAGAGUAGCCAUAGGGUCUUGUGAAUUGACUCGGACUUAUGCUUUUGUGACUCAACUACAACACUGCUGCCAUUACAUGGCUACUACUACUGCUUCAACUACCAAUUCUAGCAAGUUGUACCCCAGGUUGGGUACACUUUUCUGCUGCUCCCUCAAAAGCAUUAAGCAGACAUUUUGAUUAUACCUCCCUCCCCAUAACUCUCUGUUGGGGUGAGGCUUUCUACAAAUAUACGCAGCAAGAGGAUUACAACAGCUAACACAGGAAGCUGAAAUCCUGGGGUCUGCCUUAUGUUCCCUCAGUUCUACCCCAGUUUGAAAAUGUGCUUUUCAUCCAUGACCAGGCCAUGUUUCGGCCAUUUUGCCGCACUAGGCAAGUCUGCAAUAGACCUUCUCCUACCCGGAAAAGAAAUAGGCCUAUAGUGUACAAUGUUGGCCUAUAAUGUCAUUUUAUAACUAGGCCUAACAUUUGAUAGCCUACCAUUUGUAAAACAUGCAGUUGCGUUGGCUUUAUUAACCCAGUCCUGAUUCCUGACAAAGGCUUAUAGGGACUUGUCCUUUAAGAUAUGAACAUCAGCUACUCAUCAGCUACCCAAUGUUAUUAUGAGUUUUCUUGAGGCUUUUUGCAAAGAGAUCAAUGCUGAUGUAAAGGCCUACGUCUUCACAGCAGUACAAACCUGAAAUCACGUAUUAUCAUUACAUUUUAUUCCACAUUGUGAAACCAGGGAUCUAGUGGAAGAUAAAUGCAAAUAUGAUUAAAAAAAGGCCUGUUAUAAGAGAGAAAGAGAGAUUGUGGGAGUAGCUGAGUGCCUAUAGUGAGAGAUGGCUGUUAAUAUCAGUAGGCUGUUUGAGUGGUCUGUGGGCAGGUAAUUAAUCUGAUUGCUGAUGGGUUAGGUUGCUAGAUCAAAUCUUAACCUGCCAUAAGCUACUUUUGUGUCAGCAAGUCUCCCCAGUGAAAAAUGUACAUAUCCACCACUCCAUCUUUCAUGUACAGACCAUUCAAGUAGCUGCACUUACCACCUCACUGAUACUGAUUGUGUAAGCUACAAACCCAAAUUGUCUAAGGAAAUGUGGCUAACAGUAAUAACAUUGCAGACAUAUUCAGAAAUCUGGGCUGAUGGAAUCAUUGUUAUGCAUAUCUACUGGCCAUAAUUUCCGCUUGAGGUCCUGCCCCUCCCCCACUGCAAAGUGCACAACAGUACCAAACUAUCAAAGGUUUUAUAGGUCAACACAGUCCCCCCCCUCCCCCGUCCUUUGUAUAUUAUUUAUAUAUACUUGUGUUCCCAUAUGUACUUCCUGUAUUUAUGUGUUGUUAAUAAAAAUAUUAUAAUAAUAAAAGAUACACAGUUCCCCCUCCCCCAUGUUGCAGCAUAAAUCUCUGCUCAAGGUUGCCAUGUACACUAUUUGUGGUUUAUUGAUGUACUUUUAAAACUUUGUGGCAGGUGAAAGGUUUUGGUCGCUAGGUGGAAGUUGUUAUACUACUUCUAUAUUGCAACGUUACCAACAUGGCAUUUAAAAAAAAUCAUUAAUUUCCCUGUAUUCUGCGAAAAUUGUGCUAGUGAAGGUGGGUUUUGAAGGCUGGUUUUGAGCAGACUCCUAGAAAUUUGAAAUUGACCUGGCAAACCUGUCCCUGCCUGAGCGUGAUCACCACUGAAGUAGCUGUGCAGCACGUGUUUUAAGGAAGAGGAGGAUGGUUGCAGAUGUUUGCAUUCAUGCAAGAAGGUAAGCUAUUAACUAAACUGUUAACCAAUAUUUUAGCUAAAAUUGUAUUUGGUGUAUUGACAAGCAAUGCAUGUUCUCGUUGUCUUUAUUUUUAAUGAAUUAAUGUCAGUCAUGUAUGUCUUUCGGUGGAAUCCAACAUGCAUUGACGAUGUCUGAAAGCCGCAUUGUGUCAGAUAUACUGCGUCAUGACAUUGAAAUUGGCAGGUUUAUCCAAACAAUUCAUUAAUGUGCAAUUGUUUCUUUGCAUGUUUCUACCUUAUAGUUAUUUGUGGCUUGCUAACGGUUAGUGUGCUAGCUAACUGUUAGCGUGCUAGCUAACGGUUAGCAUGCUACCCAUGCUAGUUAAAAAAAGAAAUAUGCUAGCUAUGGUUGCAAGCUAGCUAAUAAGUUUAGCAUAAUUGGUAAACGUGUCUAUGAUUUAGAAUACAUGAUUGUGGUUAACACAAUGUUACAUGCAUUGGAAAAUAAUAUUGCUAUAGUGUAACAAGCUAGCAAGAAAAGCCAGUUCCUUUUCAUCUGUUUUGUCAAGUCAUAAGCCUGUAUGUGUGUUAAAAUAUUUAAACCCCCUCAUUAAAUUAAUGUAUUGAAGUUGCGCCCGUUUUUUAUAGCCCUUUCUUACCCAAAUACCGUUUUUUACAUUGAAAUAAUUCAGAUGAAAAUAAGAAAUAUGUUAAACUAAUUAAGAAAUAAGUGACCAGAUUUUUUUUAUUGAAAACCAUGGACAUUAGUUUGGGUGGGGGGAGGGGCGUGGUGGGGUUCCUAGUUCUUUUUUUUUUGCACAUAAAAGAGUGAAACACCACAACAAGUAUAAGGGUUGUGGAAAGUGUCCAUUUUGGUAGGACUGUGACAAUUCACUGUCUUGAAAAAAUAUAUACAUAUACUGGCAGAUUCUUUAACCAAAUCCCUAUUUCUUACACACAUUUUUUAAGAUCGAAAACAUAAUGGAAGAUAAGAGUCCAGGAACCUACAAAGUAACCAAUGCGGUAUGUUUUCUGAUUUGCCUAGUAUUUAGAGUACGCUUGCCUUGCUUUAGCCAAACCACUCAUACUGAUUCUCUUUUAGUCCAUCCAUAAAAGCAGAUUCAGCUUUAGUUGCAUGCAGGAACUUGCAUAAUGUGCUUCUGUUAUGCUUAUACUUGCUUUUUUACCUUGAAAGUAGUUUUAAAAAAACAGAAAUUGUAAUAGAUGUUUGUUGGACCUCUAUUAGUCAAUGAUAACAGCCCCUCUAUUAGUCAAUGAUAACAGUCAUUGGUGUCCCCCAGCCCCUCUAUUAGUCAAUGAUAACAGUCAUUGGUGUCCCCCAGCCCCUCUAUUAGUCAAUGAUAACAGUCAUUGGUGUCCCCCAGCCCAUCCCCUGUUGUGUGCCGAGCAAUCUUGUCAUUCUAUUAAGUCUCAACGUUUCUUUUUGUCUUCCUUUACAAAGGCACUGCAGAGGCUAAGAAGGCGCAUGGAAAAUCUAAAGAAGCAUAGUUCAACUUGUGAGGCCAGAUUUGAAAAGGAAAAGAUAAAUCCCGAAGCGCAGAUGUCAGACACCGAGGCUGCCAGUACCUCUGAGGCUGCCAGUACCUCUGAGGCUGCCAGUACCUCUGAGGCUGCCAGUACCUCUGAGGCUGCCAGUACUUCUGGGUCGAUAGUCAAUGUGUUGGAUGAUGCACCACCGUUGAUCAGAACAGACAGUAUAUACUUGACCAAAGCUAUGCUUGGAUACAAGACUGAUGACUCAAUAACCAGCAUUGACAACAGUGAAGGUGAUUAUGUCCCAGGGCCAUCAGAAUCAUCAGAGGAAGACAAUUCUGAUGAUUUUUCAGAACCAAAGACAAGGGUGGACAGCAGUAAACACGUUGAUUUAGUCUCAGAGGGAGACAGUUCAGAUAAAAUAGCAGGAGUCAAGAGAAGGAAUCACUACAAGAAGACUAGCAAGAGAUGCAGAAGUUCCUCAGAAGAAAACAGCUCAAAUGAAGAAACAGAACUCAAGAGAAAGAAUCAAUAUGCAAAUACUUAUAAGAGAUGUACUAGUUCCCCAAUGUCAAACACUAGCAGUGAAUCAUUGCUUGUAAUGAAUGUCUCAGAAUUAGAUGGAUCCAAAAAGUACCACCAAAAAAAGCACUUCUGUCUGUUUUGCGAGCAACCGCAAUCCAAAAUUGCCCGUCAUUUACAACGUAAACAUGGGGAUGAAAUAGAAGUAGCUACUGCACUUCGGUUUGCAAAGAGAUCAAAAGCUAGGAGACUUCAGCUGAAUCUUCUUCGCAAGAAGGGGAAUCGGGCACACAACAUUCAGGCACUUAAAGAAGGAAAGGGGGUUUUGGUACCAUGUAAACAAACAAGUAAUGACAAGACCAAUCACCAGGACUAUCAGCAUUGUUUUGCCUGCCAUGGGCUCUUUAAACGCAAAUCUAUGUGGAGGCAUGUGGCAAGGUGCACACUAGCACAACACGUUCGAAAGGAGAUGCCUGGCAAAACCAGAAUACAGGCGCUCUGUGCUAAUGCUCAACCGGUUGCUAAAGGAGUGAGUGAAAAGGUAUGGAAACUUGUGAGUAACAUGGCUCAAGAUGAUGUAGCCCAUGCAGUAAAACAAGACAGAUACAUCUUGGCAUUGGGUGAAAAAAUGUACAACAAGAAAGGGGAGAACCCCUCACAACACCAGCACAUUCGUCAAACUUUGCGAGAACUAGGGAGACUUGUGAUUAAAGGUAGAAAGGUGACACCACUGAAAAAGAUGAAGGAUUAUAUCAACCCAAAACACUUCCAACACAUCAUAAAAGCUGUCAAAGAAGUGACUGGCUAUGAUGAAAAGACAAACAAAUUCGAAAAAGCAACCCUGGCGACAAAGCUUGGGCAAAGCAUCCAGAAAAUUGCAGACAUCAUGGAGGGUGAAGCUCUUAUUACCCAGAAUGAAGAAAAGUUGAAGCUUGUCCGAGACUUCCAAGGCAUCUACCGUCUUCGCUGGAAUGAAAUGAUCUCUUCUGCUGCAUAUCGUACACUUGAACAGAAGAAAUGGAACGCACCGCAGCUUAUUCCAUUAGCAGAUGACGUUAAAAAAAUACACAUGUACUUAGAUGAAAAGCAGAAACAAUACUACAACCAACUGUGCGAUGAGAAAACCUCAGGAAAAUGGAGCAAUCUAGCAAAAGUGAUACUGGCUCAGAUGAUUAUCUUCAACAGGAAAAGAGAGGGAGAGGUGUCAAAGAUGUCUGUGGCAACAUUUCACUCCAGGGACAAAUCCCCACUUAACAAAGAUGUUGCAGUGGCGCUAACAGAGGUUGAGAGACUACUCUGUGCGCAUUUUGAACGCAUUGAAACCUGUGGGAAGCGUGGCAGGAAGGUGCCUGUAAUCCUUACUCCAGUGAUGGUGGAAUCUUUAGAGCUGCUUAUCAAAGAGCGGUGCUCAUGUGGAGUGAGCGAAGGAAAUAUCUACUUAUUUGCCAGGCCAGGAUAUGAUACACAUUUUCGGGGGAAUGACUGCAUCCGCGCCUAUGCCAAACAAUGUGGUGCCAAGUUACCUGAAGCAUUGUCAUCAACUAAACUACGAAAACAGGUUGCCACCCUCUCCAGAGUGUUAAAUCUCAAUGAUACAGAACAGGACCAGUUUGCUGACUUCUUGGGUCACGACAUUCGGAUUCAUCGAAAGUUCUACCGUCUUCCAGAGGGAACGCUUCAGUUGGCCAAAAUAAGUAAAAUACUGAUGGCAUGUGAACAGGGCAGAUUGGCAGAGUUCAAGGGGAAAAGUCUGGAUCAAAUAACCAUCAGUCCCAGUGGUAAGUUUACCCCCAGUGUUUAGUUUAAUGGCAAAAAGUUUACACUGACAAUAAAAACAAAGGUUUUGUUUUGCGCAGAUUUAGCUUGCCUCAAUUUAGCAUUCUUCUUUUGGCCAUCUUUUAGAAAAAAGCAUGGCUGAAAAUAAUGAGGCUGCAGACUCUUGUUCAUCAGAGAACGACUCUGAGAGAGAGGAGUCAUCUGAAAAAUCCUAUGAAGAAAAUCUGACCGGAGAGAUGUCAGCGAUUCGGGCCAAACAGCCAAUGACUAAGGGAAAGCUGGGACAAAAGAGAGGCUCACAUGGUUAGACUGUUUCCUGCUGUCUUCAGUCAGUGCAUUUUCACUCUGGCAAAAAAUGCUGACUCUAAUUUCUUGUGCACUGAUUUAACUUGCUGCAAUUUGCUUUUGUUUUUAUUGUCUUUUACAAACUGUUAUGUCUGAAGAAAUUGAUGCUGCAGCCACUGAUUGUGCAUCAGAGAACGACUCUGAGAGAGAGGAGUCGUCUGAAAAAUCCUAUGAAGAAAAUCUGACCGGAGAGAUGUCAGCGAUUCGGGCCAAACAGCCAAUCACCAAGGGAAAGCUGGGACAAAAGAGAGGCUCACAUGGUGCCAAAGGAACAAAAAGGUUUUGGUCGACAAUAGAGGUGGAUGCAGUUGAAGAUUCCUUGAUGAAUUUUAUCCGAAUGGGAAAAACGCCUGGAAAACAAGACUGUGAGAAAUGCAUUGCUGCUUCUGGCCAAGCGCUAGUAAACAGGGACUGGAGAGCAGUAAAGUUCUAUGUACACAACAGAAUAGUUGCAGAUCAGAGAAAAUAAGUGUAUAAGAUGCUUCUAUCUUGGUGUACCUCUGAGGAUUUAAUGGGACUUACUUGACUUAAGCUCAUAGGCAGUUAAUGAAUGUCCUCCAUCUCACUCUGUUUGGGGGAAGUUUUCCCAGGUGGGUUGUUCACUUUUGGAGUGAUUAAGGUCUCAAGAAUACAAAGCCUGCUGACUUUGAAUGUUACAGAAAAAUAAAAAA